rnacentral:ncRNA from 1 species
UGGUUCCCCGCGUCCGCAGCGGCAAGGGGAUUAAUAGGGAACACGGCGAGGCGUACCCAAAAGGGACCGAAUCCGUGGCUGCCCCCGCAACUGUGAACGGCGAGUGCCCUCCGAAAAGCCACUGACACCCAUUCGGGUGUCGGGAAGGUGGAGCGGCAUGGCGACCCGUGAGCCAGGAGACCUGCCAGCCUCUG